CCAGAAAUCCUCAUUGCCAGUGAGACRGGGAAAAGCACAGCCAGCUCUUUCAAGGGGAGGCCAACUUUGUGUUGCCUGCAGAAGCAAGGACCUGCUGAGAAAAGCAUCUCAUCUGAUUCCAGAAAGAGARAGAAGAGCUCUCAACAGAGAUUUUAUGAACAAAAGCCCAGAGCUCUGCUCAUUGCAAUAUCUGACAUAAUUGGAGUCAUUAUUUAUGCAUUAUCUGCAUGAACAUCUGACACUGGGAAAAUACUUGCAGUUUCCUGAAAGACUGGCAAAUUAUAGUGUAAGUGUUUAUUCAUGUCAAAAUCUAAUCCAGAAACUCAUUCCUCUUCCUCACUGAUAUUUUAUCUGAUGAGAGUAUAGGCUGUGGUGAUCAGGCCCAUCCUGAUCUUCUCCAGAACGAGUAGCKCUCAGCCAGCCUGCCAGUUGGGUAGAACUCUAUGCGUAAAAAUAGGGGGAAAAAAAUCAGAAUUUGUUAUCUGAAAUUACUUGAUAGG